GUCUGGACACGAAGAGGAGAGGAGAGAAAAAGGAGAGAAUGACUAAGCAAGAGGCUGUCAGAGAAGAGCUGGCCUUCUUGCUGUUGGACUAGGCUUCCUUCAGCUCAGCUCUGGGGACAGAGCUGUCCCAGAUGCCAAUAUCUCCCUGGAGGAGUUGACUGCUGCUGAGGGUCUGAUGGCUCCUGAUAGAGCUCCUGGACGGGAUAGAUUGUUAGCAGACUUUUUCACAGACUUCCACUUCUGGAAGUGUUUGGGAGCUGACAUGUGGGAGGUGCUGCAGGAGUGCCUGUGGAGCGGCCCGCCAUGUACUGGAGCCAGGUCUCUGCCUGGGCAGCAUGGGUUUAAUUCAGACCUGGGUCCCCCCGCUCUCCCUCUUUCAAUAGGGGCAGGAAGGGGCGUGGACAGCCAUAACAGCCCCCUCAGUAUCUGGUUUA